AUGGGACACGGCACGGGGACGCUGGCACAGGACAGGGGGCACGGGCACGGGGACAUGGGGCACUGGCAUGGCACAGGAAUUGGGGACAGAGGGCACGGGGAUGGUGCAAUGGGGCACGGAAAGGGGACGUGGGGUGCUGGCACAGCACGAGGAUGGGGACAAGGGACGUGGCAAAGGGACGGGGACAUAGGACACCGGCACGGCAAACGGCUGGGGGUCCCCGGGUGCUGGCACAGCACGGGGACAAGAACACGGGGCACAGCAAAGGGACGGGGACAGCGGGGCUGGCAUGGCACGGGGACAGGGACACAGCACGCGGCACAGAUGGGGGACACGGGGUGCUGGCACGGCCAAGGGAUGGCACCUCGGGCGCUGGCACGGCCCCGAGAUGAGGACGCGGGGCAUGGCAGGGGGACAGGGACCGGGGUGACAAUGGGGGACAGGACAAAGGGACGGGGACCCGUUCUGGGAGGGGGGGUUAUGGUACUCACCCGCGUAGGGGACGGUUUUUCGGGGCACGGCGCUCCACGAGGACCCCGGGGUGGCGCUGGGGACGAGUGCCAGCAGCGAGGCGAGGGCCAGCAGCGAGCGGGGGGCCAUGGUGCCGNNNNNNNNNNGGGGGGGCGGCUGUUGGGGGGGGGAAACGGGUUGGGGGGGGGACACCCAGCCCUGGUCAGGGUUACGGGGCGUCACCCCCGGCGGUGGCGGCGUCACGCGGGCGGCGCGGGGACAAGGCGGGCAUUGAGGGCCGCGCGUCACGAGGCCGGGGCACCCCACGCGGGACGGGGUGGGGGGGACACGAGGCGUGGGGUCAGGGUCCUGGGGGGGCCUCUCUGGGACCCCCGUGGGCGUGCGGCCCCCCCUGGGCUCAAUCUGUCCCGGUGGCAGAGACCCCUCCCCGCUCCCUGCCGGGGUCUGGGUGCCCCCCAAGCCUCUCCCUACCCUGAUGGGGGGGUGCAGCCCGCGGUGCCCCCCACCCGCUCCGUCCCCGCGGUCACUCCUCCGGCCACUUCCCGCCCUGACGCAUCCAGGCGGGUCCGGGGGGGGCCACGCAGGAGGAAACGGGCCCUUCCUCUUCNNNNNNNNNNGUGGGCAUGGUUGGGGUGUCACGGGCACAGAUCCCAGGGCCAAGAGCAGGGGCAGGGUGCCACGGGCAAAACCGGAGAGCCAGGGGCACCGUCAGGGUGCCAGGGACACUGUCGGGGUGCCAGGGGCACAGCCCCAGAGCUAAGAGCAGGGUCACGGUGCCACGGGGAAAACCAGGGUGCCACGGGCACUGUCGGGGUGCCACAGGCACAAUCGGGGUGCCAUGGGCACAGUCAGGGUGCCAUGGGUAUGGUUGGGGUGCCACGGGCACAGCCCCAUGGCUGA
rnacentral:lncRNA from 1 species